GCGCAUCGCGGCACAUAGCUCAAUCGCUAGAGCAUGAGACUCUUAAUCUUAGGGUCGUGAGUUCAAGCCCCAUGCUGGGCA